rnacentral:rRNA from 1 species
AGUAGGGAAUAUUGGACAAUGGGUGCAAGCCUGAUCCAGCCAUGCCGCGUGCAGGAAGAAGGCUUUCUGAGUUGUAAACUGCUUUUGCCAGGGGAUAAAAUGGGCAUGCGUGCCAAAUUGAAGGUACCUGGUGAAUAAGCCACGGCUAACUACGUGCCAGCAGCCGCGGUAAUACGUAGGUGGCAAGCGUUGUCCGGAUUUAUUGGGUUUAAAGGGUGCGUAGGCGGCAUUUUAAGUCAGUGGUGAAAUACUUCAGCUCAACUGGAGAGGUGCCAUUGAUACUGGGAUGCUUGAGUACUGAUGAGGUAGGCGGAAUGGACGGUGUAGCGGUGAAAUGCUUAGAUAUCGUCCAGAACACCGAUAGCGAAGGCAGCUUACUAAGGAGUAACUGACGCUGAUGCACGAAAGUGUGGGGAUCAAA